UGUGACUUUCAAUUAAUAGGGUUUAACCUUUUUGGCGUAAAGAAAAUGAAAAAAAAAAAAAGGGGCAAAACAAAAAUUGUUGCGGCGUAGAGGGACGAAGAACAAGCUUUAGAUUUUGAUCAUUUGGGAGACUUUACAAAAGGGCAAGAUCAUUGUAAAGUAGCUUGCAUUCGGUUUCUUCGAUUGAGAAAGUGUUCUAGAGUUCAGACAUGACCUCGCCUCUAGAGUUUGAUAGCAGAUCUUGAUCCAAGGGUGAGCACUACGCCUCCAAGCUACCAUGGGUCAUUUUAUUUGUUCUUGUCCAUCUUUCGGGCAAUGAAACAUUCCUUAUUUACCUUAUUUUUGGAUAUUUCUUUAGACAUGAUCUUUGUUAGUAGUUCUUGUACGAUGACUUUCAGGUCUUGGAAAUUUUAGAAAGUAGUUUAUUUGACUUCCGCAUUAAUAAAAAUUAG